UCAGGUCAGCGUGGCCCUUACGCCUGGGGCUACACACACGCUACAAUGGGCGGUACAAAGGGUCGCGAAGCCGCGAGGCGGAGCUAAUCCCAUCAAAGCCGUCCUCAGUUCGGAUUGCAGGCUGAAACUCGCCUGCAUGAAGCCGGAGUUGCUAGUAACCGCAGGUCAGCACUACUGCGGUGAAUACGUUCCCGGGCCUU
rnacentral:rRNA from 1 species